GCAACCCAUGAAGAGUACAUAACUAGUAAUGUCCUUUAAGCAGUGUUUAUAGCACUGCUCAAAUGCAACACAAUUGAAAAAGAAAUCGGUCAUGAAGUCAUCUACUAUUAAGGGUGGUAUUCUAUGGAAUCCAUGUCUGAACUCAAUGUUCAGGAAGCUUUCAGUCUGAUUCCUUGGCUUGAACCGAAUUCCACUCAAACGAAGCUUCUUGGCAGAAUGGAUCAAUUGAAGAAAUGGGCUAGUAAUGGAAUUUUUACUAGGCUUUUGAGUUGGAGAGAUGAAA
rnacentral:misc_RNA from 1 species